rnacentral:lncRNA from 1 species
GUUUCAAAGACGUGGCUUGGUGGAGGCAAUACGGCUUACUCAUGGUGGCAGUCACCUAGCUAUCAAAUCGCUGGUUAGCCAACUAAUUACUGAGGUAAAUCAGAAGAAUUUGUAGUCCCUUGGCAAAUUUACUGUAACUUGUAUGAGAGAAAUAUAUUCUGAAACUAGUUUCAGAGAUAUAUUUAAAGGAUGAAAGGACUGAGGCAUGUUGGUGCAGUGAUGUGGGCAAGUGUGGGUGAGUUCGGCACAUCCCCCACCUGAGAGAACACAACUGGAAGGAUCUCUGUGGUCUUAAUGGAGGCUUGCUGGUCUGUGGAUUCUUGACUGUGGAUUCUGGCAGGGUCACCUUUGAGGUGGCCUCCUCCAUACAGCCCAUCUGUAAUCUGGAAGCUGCUCUAUCCUCACAUGCCAUCAAGAGGAGAGUGGGCAGAAGGUCAAGGUCUUGCUGGUGUAGGGACUCAGCAGAGCCUCUCUUUGGUUUUUGUAAAUUGUGCCCACAUAGUAGUUAAUCUCCACUCAGCUACCCAGCAUCAC